rnacentral:rRNA from 1 species
AGGGAAUCUUCCACAAUGGACGGAAGUCUGAUGGAGCAACGCCGCGUGAGUGAUGAAGGUUUUCGGAUCGUAAAACUCUGUUGUAAGGGAAGAACCAGUACGUCAGGCAAUGGACGUACCUUGACGGUACCUUAUUAGAAAGCCACGGCUAACUACGUGCCAGCAGCCGCGGUAAUACGUAGGGGGCUAGCGUUAUCCGGAUUUACUGGGCGUAAAGGGUGCGUAGGUGGUUUCUUAAGUCAGGUGUGAAAAUAACGAAGCUUAACAGGUUAAUGCGCUUGAAACUAAAGGGCUUGAGGGCAAUAGAGGGAGAUGGAAUUACCUGUGUAGGGGUGAAAUCCGCAGAUAUAGGUAAGAAGGCCGGUGGGGAAGCCGAUCUCCUGGGUUGACUCUGACACUGAGGUUCGAAAGCUAGGGGAGCAAACC